UUUCUUAAUUGGGAACUGGUAUGAAAGGUAGAAACUAAUGGGAUUUUUUUAUUUAAUUAUUUUAAAGUUAAAUUAAAAGUAAAAAUGCUUUUAUAAAAUUUUAGGACGAGAAGACCCUAGAAGCUUAAAAUUUUUAAGAAAUUUUUGAUUGGGGAAAUCAAAGAAGAGAUUAAUUUUUAUUUAAAAAAUUAAAAUAUUGGGAAGUUACUCUAGGGAUAACAGCGUUAUUUAAUUAGCAAGUUCUUAUUAAUAAUUAGUUUUGCGACCUCGAUGUUGAAUUAAUAAUCUAAAUUUGAUGGAGAAGUUUAAUAAGUUAGUCUGUUCGACUAUUAAAAUAUUACAUGAUUUGAGUUCAAACCGGUUUAAGCCAGGUCG
rnacentral:rRNA from 1 species